GCUAUUGGUCCAAUUUGAUAUGAAACAACAUACAGUGUCAGUAAGUUAGUAUACAAGUAUGAUGGUAUGGCAAGUUCUAAUCAUAGCUAAUAAUUAGAUUGUUUUAAACCUCGCAGCAAAUAGCAGAACACUCACAGCAUUUUGUUUUCAUUCUAAAGGAUUAUAAAGAAUGCAAUAUAAAAUUACCACUUCAUAAGAGAUCACAUAAAAGACCUUUGAAGUUUAUAUGCUAUUUCAGGGUAUAAAGAUUUAAUGAAUAAAGAUUUAAAAACUCAUCUAAAUUUGCUUUAUCUAAACGUGAAAAUAAUUCUGUAUCAAUUAUUUUUAUGUAAUCUAUUAAGUACCUGCUUCCAGAUUUUCCAAUAAUUAACACUAAUUUAUUUAACUUACUCUACAAUUUUAAUAGCAGCUUCAAAUUAUGGAUGGAAAUGAUAUUUGGGAUUAAUUACAAAGGAAUCAGAAGAAGGAGUGAGAAGGAGGAAAUUAAGAGACUGGUUUUAAUUGUUGUACUGUUGUUGCUGUAGUAUCUCAGUGUUCUGAACAUUAUUCUUUGUAAUAGAGGAUAAAGGAUGUAAAUAAUGUCAAUCAGAUCCCAAUAUGUAAUAUUACAUUUUUAAUAAAAUAAUUCUACUAUAAUUACGGUUUACUUAUUCUUAGAAAUUGUUAGAGCUAGAAGAAAAGAGAUCAUCCAAUUUAAUUCUCUGAAAUAUAAGUAAAGAAAUUGAGUCCUAGAUUGGUGAGCUGACUUGUCAAAAGUUACACAUGAGAUUAGUGGCAGAUGCUAAAUAUUUUAUUAACUACCACUACGAGCCCCCUUUCUACUAAACCAAUCCGGUGAGUUCAUUUCAAAGGUCCGCUAAGUGAUUUUUGUCUUUUUUAUUUUUUGACAGGGUCUGAUAGUAGUACCAGACAAAAACAUGCAGAAAAACUUCAUUAAUAUAAAAAUGCAAGCUGAAGAGAGUAAGACAUAAACAGACAGGAACAUUUUACAAGGCCCAGGAAAUCAAAGUCGUGCAGGAUUUAGCUUACAGUCAUCUCCUGAUUAUCCAUCAAAAUGGAAGUAAGGCUAACUGGGAUAACAGGCUAAUUGACCUGCUACCUGAAGAAUUACUUUAUGAAACUGGAAAGCAUGAUACAACUAAAGAAAAUAUUAUCACCAAAUAGUCUGCAGAAGAUAAUGGAAAGUGUUUUUCAAAAGUAGGCUCUUAGAAUAAGAUCCAGAAUUCUUUUUGUAACAUAGUAUAGUCUUUUGGAAUAAUGAAAGAAGAACAGGCAAAUACAUAUGCAAUACUCAACUCUCCAACAACUAAACAAAAGUGAAAUUAAAGCAAUGAGAUUCUACUUUUUUCCUAUCCUAUUUACACGUUCAAAAUAAUAAUAUCAAGUGGGGAAUUGGGCUCUUUCACUCACUGCUGUAGAAGUAUAAAGCUGUUAUAAGAUUUAAUGUUUACUAAAAUUUAAGAUGCAAAUUA